rfam:Ovis aries breed Texel chromosome 12, whole genome shotgun sequence.
UCCCUGGUGGCUGAGUCAGUAAAGAAUCCACCUGCAAUGUGGGAGACCUGGGUUCAAUCCCUGGGUUGGGAA